GGCGGCGUGCUUAACACAUGCAAGUCGAACGAUGAACCACUUCGGUGGGGAUUAGUGGCGAACGGGUGAGUAACACGUGGGCAAUCUGCCCUUCACUCUGGGACAAGCCCUGGAAACGGGGUCUAAUACCGGAUAACACUGCGGAUCGCAUGGUCUGCGGUUAAAAGCUCCGGCGGUGAAGGAUGAGCCCGCGGCCUAUCAGCUUGUUGGUGAGGUAAUGGCUCACCAAGGCGACGACGGGUAGCCGGCCUGAGAGGGCGACCGGCCACACUGGGACUGAGACACGGCCCAGACUCCUACGGGAGGCAGCAGUGGGGAAUAUUGCACAAUGGGCGAAAGCCUGAUGCAGCGACGCCGCGUGAGGGAUGACGGCCUUCGGGUUGUAAACCUCUUUCAGCAGGGAAGAAGCGAGAGUGACGGUACCUGCAGAAGAAGCGCCGGCUAACUACGUGCCAGCAGCCGCGGUAAUACGUAGGGCGCAAGCGUUGUCCGGAAUUAUUGGGCGUAAAGAGCUCGUAGGCGGCUUGUCACGUCGAUUGUGAAAGCCCGAGGCUUAACCUCGGGUCUGCAGUCGAUACGGGCUAGCUAGAGUGUGGUAGGGGAGAUCGGAAUUCCUGGUGUAGCGGUGAAAUGCGCAGAUAUCAGGAGGAACACCGGUGGCGAAGGCGGAUCUCUGGGCCAUUACUGACGCUGAGGAGCGAAAGCGUGGGGAGCGAACAGGAUUAGAUACCCUGGUAGUCCACGCCGUAAACGGUGGGAACUAGGUGUUGGCGACAUUCCACGUCGUCGGUGCCGCAGCUAACGCAUUAAGUUCCCCGCCUGGGGAGUACGGCCGC
rnacentral:rRNA from 1 species